GAACGAUGAUCCCAGCUUGCUGGGGGAUUAGUGGCGAACGGGUGAGUAACACGAGAGUAACCUGCCCUUAACUCUGGGAUAAGCCUGGGAAACUGGGUCUAAUACCGGAUAUGACUCCUCAUCGCAUGGUGGGGGGUGGAAAGCUUUAUUGUGGUUUUGGAUGGACUCGCGGCCUAUCAGCUUGUUGGUGAGGUAAUGGCUCACCAAGGCGACGACGGGUAGCCGGCCUGAGAGGGUGACCGGCCACACUGGGACUGAGACACGGCCCAGACUCCUACGGGAGGCAGCAGUGGGGAAUAUUGCACAAUGGGCGAAAGCCUGAUGCAGCGACGCCGCGUGAGGGAUGACGGCCUUCGGGUUGUAAACCUCUUUCAGUAGGGAAGAAGCGAAAGUGACGGUACCUGCAGAAGAAGCGCCGGCUAACUACGUGCCAGCAGCCGCGGUAAUACGUAGGGCGCAAGCGUUAUCCGGAAUUAUUGGGCGUAAAGAGCUCGUAGGCGGUUUGUCGCGUCUGCCGUGAAAGUCCGGGGCUCAACUCCGGAUCUGCGGUGGGUACGGGCAGACUAGAGUGAUGUAGGGGAGACUGGAAUUCCUGGUGUAGC
rnacentral:rRNA from 1 species